rnacentral:rRNA from 1 species
AUCGUCCUACGGGGGGCAGCAGUGAGGAAUAUUGGUCAAUGGGCGGAAGCCUGAACCAGCCAAGUCGCGUGAGGGAAGAAGGCCCUGCGGGUCGCAGACCUCUUUGGACGGGGAGCAAGGCCGCCGACGUGUCGGCGGACGGAGAGUACCCGUAGAACAAGCAUCGGCUAACUCCGUGCCAGCAGCCGCGGCAAUACGGAGGAUGCGAGCGGUAUCCGGAUUUAUUGGGCUUAAUGGGUGCGCAGGCGGC